CAAAUUUGAUACGUUUCGACCAGAACAGAGGCCGCAUUCUCAGAUAAUUCUAUUUUCAUUUCUGCCAAUACUAUUUGCAUGAAGUCCGCCGUUGCUUUUGGAGGCGCGUAUUUUAUUUAUUUAUUCAAUUUUCCACGUUUAUGGCACCAAACACAAUUCCAAUUGAGAUGAGAGAGAUUGUUUGAGCUUUUUAAUUCCACUUAUUACAGAUUGCCAACCCCAACUAAUUUGAAAACUGUACCAAAUAAAGUUUGUUGAUGCAUGCAACACAUUCUAAAUUGCAAAUUGCGAACUAAGAUCCGAGUUACUUAAAAAAACAUUAAAACAAAUUGAUUCGAAAUUAUGCAAUUGUUAUUCAUGGUACUGUUGUCUGUCAUAAAUUUAACGACUUACUGCACUGCAGGCGAGGGCGAUCUAGAUGCUAAUAAAAAAGCCGCUGCUCGACAAGGAAGACAUUCUACAAUUGAGUGUUAUAGCGGGUGCAGAUCAGAUAGUCAAAAAUAUAAAGAUUCAAGAUAUUGACUCAUCCAUGUUGAAGGACUUGAGUGGAAUAGUGAUGAAGGAAAUGCUGCAUGGCGCUAAAGUUGUGGAUUUGUUUGAUAAGCUGCUCGUUUGGUGCUCGGUCAACGGUUUAGGUAAAUCAAAAACCGAAGAAGAUCCGAAAAAACAGCGUGAUAAUUCAAAGCCAAAUGCGAAAGGAAGUGAGCCAAGUUAUCUUUGCCUGAUUGAGAACGGAUCUGAAAAGUGCUAUGUUUAUUACUACAACCCCGACGAAGACAUCUCUGUAGAAGAGCAUUCCUUAAAGGACAACAAAGAACUAUAAGGCAUUCUCAGACAACAGUUGCGAAAAUAUAAAAUACAAAUACAAAAAACUUCAAAAAAAUUACAAAAUAAAAAAUGUUUAAAUCUCAGUUUAACUCUUAAACUGCAAAAAGUCAAUUAGAAUCCUAUAUUGAUCUAGUGAAAAA